AAAUGGGAGGUGCUGCUGAGAGGAAGGAGAUUGAGAGGAAAAUGGUGGAGCCUUUGCAUGACCAACACUUUGUCAUCUCUGCUUGGAGUAGUAACAGGACCUCUUCAGUAGCUCACUACAUUGGCUGAAGAAAAGGAAGGCACAUCUAUCUAAGAGGAUGACAGAGCCCUGGAGCAGGCUGUCCAGAGAGGAUGUGGAGUCUCCUUCCCUGGAAAUAUUCAAAACCUGCCUAGAUGCAUUCCUAUGUGAUCUUCUCUAGGUGGUCCUGCUGUGGCAGAGUUCAUAGAAUACCAGAUUGGACAGGACCCCAAGGAUCAUCCAGGACAACCUUUCAAGGUA